CAUGCACUCACAACAAACAGACCUCAGCAGCAGCUGGCUGGUGGGUAAUGAGGAGAUGGUUAUCAAAUUUAUCUUCUAGUUGCACAGAGAAUGUGGACCAGAGCAUUCGGCUGUUCAGAAAUUUGUAACAGCACCUUCCUCCAGGCAAAUAUUAAAUAUCUUCACCUACUGUGUUAGAGAUCUCUUUCCAUAUUUUAUCUAACGUAGAAAAUGAAUAAAGAGACCGGUAAGGCUGGUGAGAAGAGGAAGAAGACUGCAGGAGUAGACAAAGAUCUGUCCACGUCGAAACGAAAACAACGGGAUAGCACCCCCAACAGAGUAUUGAAGACUCGGGGUGAACUUCCACCAAAAGAGAAGCCAUCUGCUUUCAAAAAAACCUUUCAAGACUCGUGGCUUCAAGAAGGUCAAUACAAAGACUGGCUGCAGAAAGUAGAAAACAAUCGUUUUUUAGCUUAUUGCAAAUGUUGUGAUGUAAAAAUCCAGGCAGGUACUAGUGAGUUAGAUAAGAACGCUAAUGGUAAAAAACAUAAACAAAAGGUUGAGACAGUAUCUAAUACAAAGAAAAUUGAUGAUAUCUUUAAUAAACAGGAUUGUGAAAUUAAAAAAGCACAAAAAUUUGAAGAGCAAGUUAAAAAUGCAGAUUAGAAUGGCCUGUUACUUUGCUGAACACAAUCAGUAUUC